UACGUAGGGGGCAAGCGUUGUCCGGAAUCAUUGGGCGUAAAGAGCGUGUAGGCGGCCCGAUAAGUCCGCUGUGAAAGUCCAGGGCUCAACCCUGGAAUGCCAGUGGAAACUGUCGGGCUAGAGUCCGGAAGAGGCGAGUGGAAUUCCUGGUGUAGCGGUGAAAUGCGCAGAUAUCAGGAGGAACACCAAUGGCGAAGGCAGCUCGCUGGGACGGUACUGACGCUGAGACGCGAAAGCGUGGGUAGCAAACAGG
rnacentral:rRNA from 1 species